GAUGAACGCUAGCGACAGGCUUAACACAUGCAAGUCGAGGGGCAGCACGGGAGUAGCAAUACAACUGGUGGCGACCGGCGCACGGGUGAGUAACGCGUAUGCAACCUACCUAUCAGAGGGGAAUAACCCGGCGAAAGUCGGACUAAUACCGCAUAAAACAUGGGCACCGCAUGGUGAUAUUUGUUAAAGAAAUUCGCUGAUAGAUGGGCAUGCGUUCCAUUAGGUAGUUUGUGAGGUAACGGAACACCAAGACGACGAUGUAUAGGGGAACUGAGAGGUUGGUCCCCCGACCUUGUACUGAGAAACGGAACUGACUCCCACGUGUGGCAGUCGUGAGGAAUAUUGGUCAAUGGGCGAGAGCCUGAACCAGCCAAGUCGCGUGAAGAAAGAAGGAUCCAUGGUUCGUAAACUUCUUUUGAAGGGGAAUAAAGUGCAGGACGUGUCCUGUUUUGUAUGUACCCUGAGAAUAGGGAUCGGCUAACUCCGUGCCAGCAGCCGCAGUAACAC
rnacentral:rRNA from 1 species